UACGUAGGGUGCGAGCGUUAAUCGGAAUUACUGGGCGUAAAGCGUGCGCAGGCGGUUCGUUGUGUCGGUGGUGAAAUCCCCGGGCUUAACCUGGGAAUGGCAUUGGUGACUGCACGGCUAGAGUGUGUCAGAGGGGGGUAGAAUUCCACGUGUAGCAGUGAAAUGCGUAGAUAUCUGGAGGAACACCGGUGGCGAAGGCGGCAUCCUGGACCGGUAUUGACGCUGAGGCGCGAAAGCGUGGGGAGCGAUCCGG
rnacentral:rRNA from 1 species